rnacentral:rRNA from 1 species
AUGGAAGGCAGCAGUGGGGAAUAUUGGGCAAUGGGCGAAAGCCUGACCCAGCAACGCCGCGUGAAGGGAGAAGGUCUUCGGAUUGUAAACUUCUUUUAUCAGGGACGAAGGAAGUGACGGUACCUGAUGAAUAAGCCACGGCUAACUACGUGCCAGCAGCCGCGGUAAUACGUAGGUGGCAAGCGUUAUCCGGAUUUACUGGGUGUAAAGGGCGCGUAGGCGGGGAUGCAAGUCAGAUGUGAAAUCCAUGGGCUUAACUCAUGAACUGCAUUGGAAACUGCAUCUCUUGAGUGUCGGAGAGGUAGAUGGAAUUCCUAGUGUAGCGGUGAAAUGCGUAGAUAUUAGGAGGAACACCAGUGGCGAAGGCGAUCUACUGGACGAGAACUGACGCUGGGGCGCGAAAGCGUGGGGAGCAAACAGGAUUAGAUACCCUGGUA